AUACGGAGGAUGCGAGCGUUAUCCGGAUUUAUUGGGUUUAAAGGGAGCGUAGGUGGGAUAUUAAGUCAGCUGUGAAAGUUUGGGGCUCAACCUUAAAAUUGCAGUUGAUACUGGUUUCCUUGAGUACGGUACAGGUGGGCGGAAUUCGUGGUGUAGCGGUGAAAUGCUUAGAUAUCACGAAGAACUCCGAUCGCGAAGGCAGCUCACCGGGCCGGAACUGACACUGAUGCUCGAAAGUGCGGGUAUCAAACAGGAUUAGAUACCCUGGUAGUCCACGCAGUAAACGAUGAUUACUAGCUGUUUGCGAUAUACAGUAAGUGGCACAGCGAAAGCGUUAAGUAAUCCACCUGGGGAGUACGCCGGCAACGGUGAAACUUAAAGGAAUUGACGGGG
rnacentral:rRNA from 1 species